UCCUCCGUUUCCCCGCGCUACCCCAAACCCUUUGCUCCCUGGAGCCUCCUCCUAAAGUGCGCUCAGUUCCUGGACGUGGCGUUAGCCUGCUGGAGCCCGGAUAAGUGGCGGCAGCCCCCACUCUUCUCCCGAAGGCGGCUCCCGGGCCACCAAGGCCGAAACGUAGUUGGAGAGCCAGGGGGAGCCUGAGACUCCGGGACUUACACUGCCAGAACGGGGCCAGCCGGGGACCGCAGAAGCCCAGCAUUUCCAGCCUAAGAGAAAGAAGCACUUGAGUGAUCCCGAGGAGCAAACUUGGAGCUGCCUCGGGCCUCGGAGAGGAGGAGGAGGCCAGGAUCCACACUGGACUCAUCUGCUGCUCUGGGGCCCCGUACUGGGCCUGGCCACAGGAGCAGGAGAGUAUAUUUCUUCCAGGGAGCCUUCAAAGAAUGUUUUAAGAACAUUUCCAAAGCCAUUCCCAAUGACUUCUAAAAACCAUCUCUUUUGAACUGUGGUGAUGUAACCAAAUGAGGAUGUUUAUGUGGUGUCUGCUUAACUACUUGAUUCUCCUGUAUAAAAGACAAUUCUUAAAGCGUGUCUCUGCUUACCCAACGUUGAGGCUGGAUGUGGUAAUGUGGUAAAGUAUCUGGUAACCUGUCUCUGAAUAUGUCUUUAUUCUAGUUGAGUCUGGUGUAAAGGCCAGUAUUCCAAAGUUGCAUAUGGUUAUUUAGUAUUUCAAAAUGUGUCAUAAAUAAAAAUUAAUUUUCUG